AUGUGCAGCGCUCGCAGCCGCUUGGCCUCGUCGAUGAACGGCCGCUUCUCCGUCUCCGACAAAAGUUUCCACUCGGCGCCCAGGCGCUUGCUGAUCUCCGAGUUGUGCAUCUUGGGGUUCUCCUGGGCCAUCUUGCGCCGCUGCCCGCGGGACCACACCAUGAAGGCGUUCAUGGGCCGCUUGACGCGGUCCGGGCUGUUCUUCUGGUUGCCGCCCGCCGCCGCCGCGGUGGAGUUGCCGCCGCCGCCGCCGCCGCCGCCCCCCGAAGUUUGCUGCGGGCCCGGCGGCUUCAGCUCCGUCUCCAUCAUGUUGUACAUGCGGGCGCUGUGCGCGGGCCCGGCCCGCCGGCGGCCGCCGACCCUCGGCCCGGCCGGGACUUUGGGGGGCCCGCGGGCGGGGGGAGAGGAGGAGGGGAGGCGGGCGGGGGUGUCGGGAGCGCAGGGCUCCGCGAGAAAAAUCAGGCGAAGAAUAAUUUGGGGGAAGAAAAGAGAGAGAGAAGCAAACUGGAAUCAGGAUCAAAAAAAGCGCUUCCCUCCUCUUCUGGCCGAUCCUGCCGCCGCCGAUGAUUGUUAUUAUUAUUUUUUGGAAAGGCUUAAGCCUGGGGCUCAAACUUCUCUCCCUUUCUUUCUCUCUCCUCUUCUUUCUCUCAGUCCUAGUCUUAAAGAGGCAGCAAACUACUUUCCCCCUUUUGCAAACACUCUCUUCUCUGCCUUGACAACUCCUGAUACUUUUUUGAACAAGUUAAUAGACAACCAUCCAUGUGACGGGGGCUGUCAGGGAAUAAAUGGGUUUCCAGCGACCAAUCAGCGCGCGGCGGCUCCUCCACUCGAGCCCAGCCUCGCAGCCGGGUUUUGCAUGAAAGGGGGCGGGGCCUGCCGCGCCGCAGGCCGCGCGGGGGAGGCGAGGGGAGGAGGGGGAAGGAGGGAGGGGGAGGCGGCUCCCACAGCCAGCCUGCCAGCCACUGAGAAACCUUUGUAUCCCCUCUCGCAGCAACAGGUCACACCACACGCCUUUUCGAAGGAAGUGGGUAAACAGCACCAAGACUGCGAUUUUUUUUCUUCUUCAAACUUAAUAUUGAUUUACUUUUUGCUGCGGGCUGCUGAAACGAGGAAGGGGCGCGAGAAGCCGCUAAGGUGUGGGGGUGGGGCACGGCAGAGUGGGUGGUUCAGGACGACUGUCCUACUAGUAUUUCAGGAAACAGGCGGUGCAGGAGUUGGUGUGUCAUUGUUUUCCCGCUCCUCCGCAUGCUCCCCCCCCCCACCGCCGCCCCCCCCCACUCCCUCCCCCGCUCCAGCCUCCUCGGUGCUUCUGCCUAACCUCGCUCUUCCCCUCGCCCCUCUUCCUCUACAGGUGCCGGCACUAGUUCGCCCCUUUCUUACACUGUCCCGACAAGAAGUUAUGAGACGGAAAGCUCAGUGCUCCAAACCCUCCUAG
rnacentral:lncRNA from 1 species